rnacentral:rRNA from 1 species
UGGGGAAUAUUGGACAAUGGGCGCAAGCCUGAUCCAGCCAUGCCGCGUGAGUGACGAAGGCCUUAGGGUUGUAAAGCUCUUUUGGCGGGGACGAUAAUGACGGUACCCGCAGAAUAAGCUCCGGCUAACUUCGUGCCAGCAGCCGCGGUAAUACGAAGGGAGCUAGCGUUGUUCGGAAUCACUGGGCGUAAAGCGCACGUAGGCGGAUUAUUAAGUCAGGGGUGAAAUCCCGGGGCUCAACCUCGGAACUGCCUCUGAUACUGAUAGUCUCGAGUCCGGAAGAGGUGGGUGGAAUUCCUAGUGUAGAGGUGAAAUUCGUAGAUAUUAGGAAGAACACCGGUGGCGAAGGCGGCCCACUGGUCCGGUACUGACGCUGAGGUGCGAAAGCGUGGGGAGCAAACAGGAUUAGAUACCCCCGUAGUCCCUGAGCGGGCUGGCAAGGCGCAU